rfam:Gossypium hirsutum cultivar TM-1 chromosome 21, whole genome shotgun sequence
UGUUAAAAUUUUCAUCAAUUUGUAUUGUUAAAAAUUGGAGUGGCUGUCGGAAUAGCCAAAUAGUUACACGUGGCAUAGCACAUGUACCUUAUGCUAACGUACAAGGACCAAUUUUUAUUAAUAGAAAUGGAUUUUAACA